ACGCUCGACACCUACGGGAGCAGCAGUGGGGAAUAUUGCACAAUGGGGGAAACCCUGAUGCAGCGACGCCGCGUGGAGGAAGAAGGUCUUCGGAUUGUAAACUCCUGUUGUUGGGGAAAAAGAGGAUGGUACCCAACAAGGAAGUGACGGCUAACAACGUGCCAGUAGCCGCGGUAAUCUGAGCGGGCUGGCAAGGC
rnacentral:rRNA from 1 species